AUGAACGCUAGCUACAGGCUUAACACAUGCAAGUCGAGGGGCAGCGGUAUCGAAAGCUUGCUUUCGGUAGCCGGCGACCGGCGCACGGGUGAGUAACGCGUAUCGAACCUGCCUCAUACUCGGGAAUAGCCUUGCGAAAGUAAGAUUAAUGCCCGGUGUUUUCAGAGUCCCGCAUGAGGCUUUGAACAAAGAUUUAUCGGUAUGAGAUGGCGAUGCGUCCCAUUAGCUUGUUGGCGGGGUAACGGCCCACCAAGGCAUCGAUGGGUAGGGGUCCUGAGAGGAAGGUCCCCCACAUUGGAACUGAGACACGGUCCAAACUCCUACGGGAGGCAGCAGUGAGGAAUAUUGGUCAAUGGGCGGAAGCCUGAACCAGCCAAGUAGCGUGCAGGAAGACGGCCCUCCGGGUUGUAAACUGCUUUUAGUUGGGAAUAAAACGGGGCUCGUGAGCCCCCUUGCAUGUACCAUCAGAAAAAGGACCGGCUAAUUCCGUG
rnacentral:rRNA from 1 species